rnacentral:rRNA from 1 species
UUCCAGACUCCUACGGGAGGCAGCAGUGGGGAAUAUUGCACAAUGGGGGAAACCCUGAUGCAGCGACGCCGCGUGAGCGAUGAAGUAUUUCGGUAUGUAAAGCUCUAUCAGCAGGGAAGAAAAUGACGGUACCUGACUAAGAGGCCCCGGCUAACUACGUGCCAGCAGCCGCGGUAAUACGUAGGGGGCAAGCGUUAUCCGGAUUUACUGGGUGUAAAGGGAGCGUAGACGGCUGUGCAAGCCAGAUGUGAAAGCCCGGGGCUCAACCCCGGGACUGCAUUUGGAACUGUGUGGCUGGAGUGUCGGAGAGGCAGGCGGAAUUCCUAGUGUAGCGGUGAAAUGCGUAGAUAUUAGGAGGAACACCAGUGGCGAAGGAGGCCUGCUGGACGAUGACUGACGUUGAGGCUCGAAAGCGUGGGGAGCAAACAGGAUUAGAUACCCCAGUAC